rnacentral:rRNA from 1 species
UGUAAGCGUAUACCAAAGUUGUUGCAGUUAAAACGCUCGUAGUCGGAAUUUGGCAGUUCCGGAUGUGUGCACGUCGUGUGCGCACUUCGCGGGGAUUGCUUUUGUGGUCUUGCGUAGGAUGAGGCACUUUUAUUAGUGAACGUCCUCACGCAACCACUUUUUACUGUGAGAAAAUCAGAGUGCUCAAAGCAGGCAUUUGCCGUGAAUGUAUUAGCAUGGAAUAAUAGAAUAGGACUUGGUUCUAUUUUGUUGGUUUGUUGGGACUGAGUAAUGAUUAAGAGGGACAGUUAGGGGCAUUUGUAUUUCGGUGCUAGAGGUGAAAUUCUUAGAUUGCCGAAAGACAAACUGCUGCGAAAGCGUCUGCCAAGGAUGUUUUCAUUGA